UACAGAGGGGGCAAGCGUUGUUCGGAAUUACUGGGCGUAAAGGGCGCGUAGGCGGCCUGUUAAGUCGAACGUGAAAUCCCCGGGCUCAACCCGGGAACUGCGUCCGAUACUGGCAGGCUUGAAUCCGGGAGAGGGAUGCGGAAUUCCAGGUGUAGCGGUGAAAUGCGUAGAUAUCGGGAGGAACACCAGUGGCGAAGGCGGCUUCCUGGACCGGUUCUGACACUGAGGAGCGAAAGCGUGGGGAGCGAUCCGG
rnacentral:rRNA from 1 species